UACGUAGGGGGCAAGCGUUGUCCGGAAUCAUUGGGCGUAAAGCGCGUGUAGGCGGUUCAGUAAGUCUGCUGUGAAAGUCCAGGGCUCAACCCUGGGAUGCCGGUGGAUACUGCUGGACUAGAGUGCGGAAGAGGCGAGCGGAAUUCCCGGUGUAGCGGUGAAAUGCGCAGAUAUCGGGAGGAACACCAAUUGCGAAGGCAGCUCGCUGGGACGUUACUGACGCUGAGACGCGAAAGCGUGGGGAGCAAACAGG
rnacentral:rRNA from 1 species